AUGCACGCUGGCGGCGUGCCUCAUCCAUGCAAGUCGAGCGAACAGACGAGGAGCUUGCUCCUCUGACGUUAGCGGCGGACGGGUGAGUAACACGUGGAUAACCUACCUAUAAGACUGGGAUAACUUCGGGAAACCGGAGCUAAUACCGGAUAAUAUAUUGAACCGCAUGGUUCAAUAGUGAAAGACGGUUUUGCUGUCACUUAUAGAUGGAUCCGCGCCGCAUUAGCUAGUUGGUAAGGUAACGGCUUACCAGGGCAACGAUGCGUAGCCGACCUGAGAGGGUGAUCGGCCACACUGGAACUGAGACACGGUCCAGACUCCUACGGGAGGCAGCAGUAGGGAAUCUUCCGCAAUGGGCGAAAGCCUGACGGAGCAACGCCGCGUGAGUGAUGAAGGUCUUCGGAUCGUAAAACUCUGUUAUUAGGGAAGAACAAAUGUGUAAGUAACUAUGCACGUCUUGACGGUACCUAAUCAGAAAGCCACGGCUAACUACGUG
rnacentral:rRNA from 1 species